rfam:Gongylonema pulchrum genome assembly, scaffold: GPTH_scaffold0045507
CAAACGGCCCUCUUUAGGGCCACAAAUCUAUGAGUCAUGCUUUCU